UCUGCCUGACCAGUGGAUUCUUCCCCCAUCUUUGCAUGUCUGUUAAAUUGUGCAUUUUGCAGUUGGGGAAAUAAUCAUAGGAUGGGAUUGGGGACCCACUGGGAUCACUGAGGGUCUGGGCUAAGACUCCAUUUCUCAUGUCAUUCUAUGUACCUUCUACACUGACUGCUGGGCCACAGUGGCAUUUUGGGUCUCCCUGAAUCAGUAUCAGCUCAGAGCUUUUGUCCAAUACUCCCCAGGAGGUCUGACUAUUUCUGUUCCUCCACUGCACAGUCACCUAGGUUAUGGUCUGGAUAUAGUGUGUCCCUUAAAAGCUCUUGUGAUAGUUCAGAGGUGAAAGAAUGGAUGGUGUGAGCCCCAACUUAAUCAGUCCACCCUCGUUUGAAUGGGCUGACUGGGUGGUGACCGUAGGCAGGCUAGAGGGGGUGGGUUCCUGGGGCUGCCCUGGAAGGGUGCAUCUUCCCUGCGGCCCCCUCCCUCCUCUCUCAGCUUCCUGGCUGCCAUGAGCAGAUCAGGGCUGCUCCACCCUGCCCUUCUGCCAAGGUGUUCCGUCUCACACUGAGCCCGGAGGGAUGGACUCAGCCAACCACCGACCAAACCUCAGGAACUGUGAGCCAAGAUAAACUAUCCCUCCUCUAAGAUGUCCUUGUCGGGCAUUUUGGACACAGGGUUGCCAGACCUGACUGAAACACCCUAGUAAGGAGCCAUAGAAAGAGGUCCUUCUCAGUGUGAUGAGACAAAAUUGCCUUUUUUGGUACCUUGGCAGGAUUUCCCGGGGUCCCCCAGUGAGGCUGGGCCUCCGCACUCCCUGAGUCCUAUCAAAACCAGGCAGACUGGCCCUCUCUGCCUCCUGGAAUCUCUCCCUGGGAACUCCCAGUCUUGGAUGCCUGAGUGAGGCCUUCCUCAAUCCUGAAGGGGGAUCUGCUUCUCUCCCAACUGCUGCUCAUCCUCAUGUUCAGUCACCCCGCGGGGACUUGGGGUAAAGUGAGGGUCAUAACAGGCGUCACCCAUUUAUUUAACAAAUAUGUGCUGGAUACCUGUUGUUGCCAGAUACUCAAUUGCUUUCCCAGGAGAUAGUGGUGGACGAGAAACACUUGGCCCCUGCCUUCAAGGAGCAGGUGGCUUUGUGGAAAUAAGUGCUUUCGACCACGGAGGAGAAGCGCUACGAUGGACGACGGUGGAGCUCUUGGGAGAAGCUGCUGGCCAGGACUCAAAGGCACUGGAUGAGGAAUCCUGGGAAAGUGUCUGGCACUAGUUAUCUUUCACAAAAGGAAGAGAUUGAGGCUCGGGAGGCAAUAUCAUGGAGAGAAGGAAGAUCAAAGAGUGACAGAAGAGCCACACAGGAAAGGUGAAGGCACGACACAGGUGUGACCCAGUGGAGGAGGAAGUGGAAGGUGUGGACCACAGGUGCUGUGGGGAGGCCAGGCCUCAGUAUCACAUUGCCCACCUUGCAAAGACUGGGAGGUCCCCACCCCAACUCCUUCUUCUAGACAGAGAAGAGUUCAGGACAACUAAGAAGACCACUUCCAACUGCAUUUUGCUUCCUUCCGCUGCAAAGAUAAGGAACAUGAGAAUGGGUGAUAUUCAGCACUUGCCAAAGUUUGCAUAGCUUGGAAGUGAGGCAGCAUAUGCUGUGACCCAGAGAGAACUCGGACCCCAAAGCCAGGGCUCCUUCUUUCAUGCUGUUGAAGAAAAACCUACCUGUGCUGGGUUUCAGGAUUUCUACUUAUAUCUAUAAGGGAUGCUUCUGAUGGCAGUUGAUUUCAUUCUCAUGUUGUUGACCACUAAUAAACUCAAAUUUUUGAAGGGAAAUAAAAUUUCCCCUUUGAUUUAUCCAGAGAACAAGUGAGAAUUGACAAGAACCAUCUUGAAAUAUGUAAACAUCUGAUCCUAUGUAGGGAACGGCGCAGACAUUGGUUAAAUAGCGUAUUCCUACAGACCCCAAGGGUCGAUCAAGGACCAGUGGGUGAAGAGUCAAUCCAGCCCAAUUUGAAGAAUACAUUUCAAAGGACUCUGUACUUGGCAGGAUUACUGUUGAGAAGAUUCAGGUGCAAUCUGGAACAUCAGGAGUGUGGGCAAGAGUCUUCCAGGUCCGUCCUUACAGGGGGAGAUUUUCCCCAGCACCUUUGGGGAAGAGGAAGGCAGGUCCUCACGCCCUGCAGAAGUUUAAUGUGAGUGGAGCCCAUUGCAGUGGGACAGAGAUGAGCAGUGCUCCAGUUCCCGCCAGGUAAGGCAGAGGGAAGGCAGGGACACAGGGAGACCCGCACCCUGCACCUGAGGACCAAGUUCUGCUUCCUUCCUUCUAGCUCUCCUGACGAGCAGGGCUGAUUUAUUUUAUUUACGUAUAUACUUGCUCAUUUUCUGACUCCUUCACUGUGUUAUAUGACUACAGGGACCAUUUCCAUCUUAUUCAUCAUCAUAUAACCCAUGACGAUGGAAUGGCUAAUGCAUGAAGCCAACGCUCAGUAAACAUACUUAAAUGAAGGGCAUAACCUAAAGCAAGGAAGAAACUAAGGGUAACCUGAACCAAGGCAGAAAUCAGAGCAGGUGAAACCAAAGAGAUAAAAGAACUGAAUGGAACUGGGUCUCCACAGUGGAGGCCAUGGAACUGUUCCUGUCAGCACUGGUUUGCUCCAUCAGUCCAUCAGAAAGUCUCUGAAGGUCCAUCCCCCACUUCCCAGGCCUCAGAGGACCAGAGGCCUGUCUUAGCAGGGGUUAAAUUUACCUCCAGAGGGCCACUGGGCAGAUUAAAUGGAACAACAGCCAGGCAGCUCUUGUUACACGGUAAGUACUCAAUAAAUUCUCCAUCGUUUCCCUGCCCCUGAAGAUGCCCCUUUUCUUGUCCUCAAGGCAAGUUGACAUGGAGGCUGUCUGCUCUGGAGGAAGGCAAAGAGGCUUAUGGAACGGAGGGCAGAGGCAGGGACAGUUCCAUUAACAGAUGCAGCCGCUGUGGCAGAGACAUUUUCCACUUGGCACCACUGCUAGAUGUCUUUGCUGAGCAAAGAUUUAAGCCCCAGAUACCAUUUGAUUUGCAUGCUUGGGGGAAUAAUAAAAGAACCCUAUUAUGGGAUGCAAUAGCCUGUGAUCUCAUUGAGGAGCUGCUGCAGAUUGCUUCAGGGAGAAGGUUACUGUCCAGUGUAGCAAAUCACCGCCAGCAAAGAAGAAAAUACAGCAAUUUCAGAGAAAAAGCACAAGUGAAGCUUCUAGGGCAGAGAGCCCGUGUGUUACCUUGGCCCCGACACGAGGCAACUACUUGCUUCCUGAUGAGCUUAGCUCGUAGGA